rnacentral:rRNA from 1 species
GGUCAAGCGAACAAGUGCAUGUGGUGGAUGCCUUGGCGAUCACAGGCGAUGAAGGACGCGGUAGCCUGCGAAAAGCUACGGGGAGCUGGCAAACGAGCUUUGAUCCGUAGAUGUCCGAAUGGGGAAACCCACUCCUUUUGGAGUAUCCAUGGCUGAAUACAUAGGCCAUGCGAAGCGAACGCGGUGAACUGAAACAUCUAAGUAACCGCAGGAAAAGAAAUCAACCGAGAUUCCCAAAGUAGUGGCGAGCGAAAUGGGAUGAGCCUUGCACUCUUUAUUUGUAUUGUUAGCCGAACGCUCUGGAAAGUGCGGCCAUAGCAGGUGAUAGCCCUGUAGGCGAAAACAGUAUGAAAGAACUAGGUGUGCGACAAGUAGGGCGGGACACGUGAAAUCCUGUCUGAAGAUGGGGGGACCAUCCUCCAAGGCUAAAUACUCGU